GGGGCUCAGGACGCACACCGGAGGGCGCAGCAAGGACUGUGUGUAGCGACGCCUUGUGAAGAGCCGUCCGAAGGGCCGUCCGCCGUGGAGCGGGCACAGAGGCGGGACUUACGUGCUUACGCAGGAGCGCUUCACAAGAGGGAAGGUGAACCACCCAAAGCUGCCCCGCACAGAAGCGGUGAUUUCUCAGAAACAGACGUGUGGUCGGGAAUGCGGGAGGGGAGAAGCACCCAGCAGGUUUCCACUCAUCAGUUUCAAGAGCGUGGAGAUCCAAGCACGUUGGCAGCACAAGGGUGAUGCAGUUCUGUGACGUGAACUGGAAAGCCUCCGCCGUCCGCGGGCCGGCCCCACGGACGCAGCCGGGGAAGAAAGAGAUGGCGUACAAUAGUUUCCACGAAGAACCUGGAGUUUUGGAAGAUCUCUCGUAAAGCUGUCUGGGCCCAGAGCUUUUGUUUUCCGCAGACAUGACUCAGACAACCUCCCCCCCGCUGCCUUUCUCCCCGUUCUCGGGUCUCCCACUGACCGGAUGACACGUUGGCAGCAGA